UUGGACCUUUGCUGUUUGCUUUAAACAGACUUUGCUUCGGUCUUCUCUAUAUAUUGCUAAUGAGGACCUUCUGGAUUUCCUGGAUUUAAGAGACCACCAGCUGCGAAGGAAAUGAUAGACUGCUCCUUAUCCCAGAAGGCCCUGUCCGACCACACCCCUUUUCGAACUGAAUGCCUUACUGAAGGCCAUGAGGAUGGAGGGAACUGAGGAACUGGGACAAAGGAGGGGAGGUUGCAGCCCACCCGAGUGUCUGAAAGAUUGAGUGUCCUUGCUCAUUUUCCACCUACAAGCAUUCUCACAACGCUUGGCUUCCUGUCACCAUGGAGACGCCUCCUUGCCACAAUGCCUCUGUCUCAUUAUGGAUUCUUCCCAAAUGUCCUGGAAGUGAUGUCUGGUCUUGCCUGACAAUAUAAUUCAUCAUGAAGAGGUGUGUGGCUGCAGCUCUGAAUGGCCAUCAGGGAUCCCUCUCACUCCUUCUUCCCAAACUCCACACAGGCAGCUCGCUCGAGGGAGGUGUGGGGCGAAAACCACUUCUAAUUUUCGAGG